AUUGAACGCUGGCGGCAUGCUUUACACAUGCAAGUCGGACGGCAGCACAGAGAAGCUUGCUUCUUGGGUGGCGAGUGGCGAACGGGUGAGUAACAUAUCGGAACGUACCGAGUAGUGGGGGAUAACUGAUCGAAAGAUCAGCUAAUACCGCAUACGUCUUGAGAGGGAAAGCAGGGGACCUUCGGGCCUUGCGCUAUUCGAGCGGCCGAUAUCUGAUUAGCUAGUUGGUGGGGUAAAGGCCUACCAAGGCGACGAUCAGUAGCGGGUCUGAGAGGAUGAUCCGCCACACUGGGACUGAGACACGGCCCGGACUCCUACGGGAGGCAGCAGUGGGGAAUUUUGGACAAUGGGCGCAAGCCUGAUCCAGCCAUGCCGCGUGUCUGAAGAAGGCCUUCGGGUUGUAAAGGACUUUUGUCAGGGAAGAAAAGGCUGUUGCUAAUAUCAGCGGCUGAUGACGGUACCUGAAGAAUAAGCACCGGCUAACUACGUGCCAGCAGCCGCGGUAAUACGUAGGGUGCGAGCGUUAAUCGGAAUUACUGGGCGUAAAGCGAGCGCAGACGGUUACUUAAGCAGGAUGUGAAAUCCCCGGGCUCAACCUGGGAACUGCGUUCUGAACUGGGUGACCAGAGUGUGUCAGAGGGAGGUAGAAUUCCACGUGUAGCAGUGAAAUGCGUAGAGAUGUGGAGGAAUACCGAUGGCGAAGGCAGCCUCCUGGGAUAACACUGACGUUCAUGCUCGAAAGCGUGGGUAGCAAACAGGAUUAGAUACCCUGGUAGUCCACGCCCUAAACGAUGUCAAUUAGCUGUUGGGCAACUUGAUUGUUCAGUAGCGUAGCUAACGCGUGAAAUUGACCGCCUGGGGAGUACGGUCGCAAGAUUAAAACUCAAAGGAAUUGACGGGGACCCGCACAAGCGGUGGAUGAUGUGGAUUAAUUCGAUGCAACGCGAAGAACCUUACCUGGUCUUGACAUGUACGGAAUCCUCCAGAGACGGAGGAGUGCCUUCGGGAGCCGUAACACAGGUGCUGCAUGGCUGUCGUCAGCUCGUGUCGUGAGAUGUUGGGUUAAGUCCCGCAACGAGCGCAACCCUUGUCAUUAGUUGCCAUCAUUCAGUUGGGCACUCUAAUGAGACUGCCGGUGACAAGCCGGAGGAAGGUGGGGAUGACGUCAAGUCCUCAUGGCCCUUAUGACCAGGGCUUCACACGUCAUACAAUGGUCGGUACAGAGGGUAGCCAAGCCGCGAGGUGGAGCCAAUCUCACAAAACCGAUCGUAGUCCGGAUUGCACUCUGCAACUCGAGUGCAUGAAGUCGGAAUCGCUAGUAAUCGCAGGUCAGCAUACUGCGGUGAAUACGUUCCCGGGUCU
rnacentral:rRNA from 1 species